GUCGUCCAGACCAAUGAAAUAGCUCCACUAUAAUCAAAUGAGGUACAAGAGAGUCUCAAACAAAGCACAAAAAUGUGCAUAUAACCAGCCAAAACAUCAAAGCACCAAAGCUCACAAAUAAGAAGCAAGAAGAUGAAAUAUACCCAAAAAAACAGAGCUGAUGUCGAAGCCAAUUUCUACCUCUGCAGACCUCCAAUUAAAAUCUCCACCGUUCAGAAUGAAGAACAAGAUGUGAAGAAUCUACAGUCCAAAUUUCACGUCGAUCCAACGGUGAAAGAAUGAGAAAAUGCCGUUCCAAGAUUGCUGCUCUGUGUAAAAACGGGAAACCUAAUUUCUCUCUUGCGAAGCCAAUUUCUCCUACUGCAAACCUCCAAUCAACAUCUCCACCAAUCAGAAUGAAGAACAAAAUGAUAGGAACACGUAGUUUAAAUUUCAAGCCGAUCCAACGGUGAACAACUGAGAAACUGCCAUUUGAAAUUUACUACUUUGGGCAAAAACGGGAAUUCUGUUUUCCCUCUUCUCUCUCACUUGGUGGCUAUUCUCUCUUUCUCUCAAAAGACCUCAAAAACUGAAUUAGGGUUGUGACACUAGGGUGCAAGAAUACACCCUCAAAAUAUUGGGCUUGGGCCUCACAAAGGAGAGAAAAAAACCCAACAAAUACCCCCUCAAACUCGAGUAGGGUCUAGGACACACCCAAAGUUUGUCUCUGAGUCGCUCAAAUAAAGCUGCUGUCAGUGGCUUUAUCAAAACAUCUGCAACCUGAUCUACACUUGGAAUAUGCACAAUAUGUAGUUUUCUGCUGCAACUUGUCCCGGAUGAUUUGGACAUCCAGCUGGAAGUGCUUCGUUCGAUCAUGCAGGACAGAUGUGGCUAUCAACAGCACUGUGCUCAUGUUAUCGCAGUAAUAAUAGGAGCUGUUUGCAAUUUGAUAUCCAACUCAUGUAGCAGGUUCCUUAUCCAAACAAGCUCAGCUUCAUAAGCAACUAGACUUCUGAAAUCUGCUUCACACGAAAAUCUGCUAAUGGUCCCCUGUUUCCUACAACACUAGGAGACAAGAUUAGCGCCUAAAUAGAAGCAGAAACCCGAAACUGACCUGCGAUCUUCAAGAUCGUCUGCCCAGUCAGAAUCAGAGAAACCAUAAAGCCUAUAAUCUAUGCAUUUUUCUAGAAGGAGGCCACGUUCUUUAGUGCCCUAUACACGGAUAUGUGGAUCGGAUAUGCGGAUACCUACACAAAAUCAGCAAUCUGAUCCUAUUAGUGUGUGGAUCAGAUCCGAUCCGAUAGCCUUGCGAAUCGGAUCCAUAUCCGUAAUUUUUGGAUCGGAUUCAGAUAAACAUCGCGGAUAUGCGGAUUGAAUCCGAUCCAUGAACACCCCUAAUAGAAUGGAAAUCUUUUUUCACAAAUAAAGAAGUGUACGUAUCUGAUAAAGUGUUUUUAAACUCAAAUGAAUAUAGUGUUAUGCUAAGUUUGAUAAACACUCUCUAGGUGCCUGUUUUAGGCCAUAUAAAGCUUUAUUAAGCUUGCACACAUGAUCAGCAAAACCUUGUUCAAACCCAUACGGUUGUGUCAUGUAAAUGAUUUGAUACAAUUUUCCAUUGAGGAAUGCAUUGUUAAAGUUAAACUAAGUGUCCAAUUCCUAGAUAAAGCAACACUUAAGACCAAUCUGAUUUUAGUUGUCCUAAUCACAGGGUUAAAGACUUGUUCAAAGUCAAAACCCUCUUGUUGAUGAAAACUUUGGGCCACUAACCUAAAUUUAUACUUCUAGACAAUGCCAUCAGGGUGCCUUUUAACUACAUAUAUCCAUUUAUACCCAAUAACCUUGGCAUUUUGCGGUUUAGGAACAAUACACCAUGUAUUGGUUCGAAUGAGGACUUGAUAUUCUUCUUGCAUUGCUGUGUACCAAUGAGGUAUGAUAAGGGCUACUUUAGGUAUUUUUGGUAGCUAUUCCUUAUAGUCUAAGUCAGUGACAGUGGAAGUCAAGACUUUUGGUUUUGCAGAAUUAAUUUUGGACCUAGUUAUCAUUGGGUGUAGAUUUUCUGAUUUUGAGGAUUGAUUGGUGUUAGUGGGAAAGAUUGGUCAAUAGAGGGUAAAUGAGUGUUUGUGUCAAUAGUGGAUUAAGUGUGUGUUAGAGGAAGAGAAUGAGAAAUAUCUGGUAUAGUGGCUCUAAGAGUAUGCUGAUUAUUUUUAGUUCCUUGCACAGCAUUAGGCACAUGAGUCCCUGUAGCAGAAGUAACAAAAGAAUUACUAGAAUGAAUAGUAUGGUUAUGUAAACUAUGAUGAUCAAACAAGGUGCAUAAUCAUGUAUCACAGUAUCAGACACGGUACAUUUAGGAAUCUAUUUUGAUGCAAAUAUGGUUUGAUAAGAAAACUUAUUUUUCAUCAAAUUGUACAUGUCUUGAAAUAUAGAUCUUACCAGUAGGUGAUAGGCAUUUAUAUCCUUUAAAAUCUGAAGAGUACCAAUAAAAAUACAUUUAUGAGACCUGACUUCUAGUUUAUUUUUAUUGUAAGGUCUAAUCCAAGGAUAGCAUGCAUAACCAAAGACUCUUAGCAUAUGAUAAUUUGGUUUAUUUGAAAAAAGUUCAUAAAGGGAUUUAUUUGACUGAUUCAAUGAUGGAAGUCUAUUAACGAGGAAGGUAGCAGAGAUCACAACUUCAUCCCAAUAUGUAAGAGGUAUGGAAACUGUAGAAAGCAUAGCUAAGCUUGAUUCUAUUAUAUGUCUAUGUUUUCUCUCAGCCAAGCCACUUUGCUCAGGAGUAUAUGGGCAUGAGAAUCUGUGAUGUAUAUCUUCUUGAUGCAAAAAUUCUAUGAAACAUUUUGAGGUAUAUUCAUUCCCAUCAUCUGUUUGAAAUUCUUUAAUUUUACAGUUUGUUAGAUAUUUAAUAUAAGCUUUAUACUAAAUAAAAGCAUGAAACACCUGGGAUUUAUUCACUAAUAAGAAUGUACAGGUAUACUUACUAUAAGCAUCUAUAAAUGUAACACAAUACCUGUAGCCCAAGUGCGAAAUUAGUGGUGCAGGGCCCCACACAUCAAAGAAAAUGAGUUGUACAUGUUUUAAAGGGUAACUGCCCUAGUCGCUUAUGCCACAAAUCUAAUAAAGAACAACGCAAUAAAUACACAGAAGGAGAC